GCUACCAUGCAAGUCGAGCGCUGAAGCCUGGUGCUUGCACUGGGUGGAUGAGUGGCGAACGGGUGAGUAACACGUGAGUAACCUGCCCUUGACUUCGGGAUAAGCCCGGGAAACUGGGUCUAAUACUGGAUAUGACCUCUUACUGCAUGGGGGGGGGGGGAAAGAUUUAUCGGGUGGGGAUGGACUCCCGGGCUAUCAAUUUGUUGGUGGGGGAAUGGCCUACCCAGACCACCACCGGUAACCGGGCUGAGAAGGUGGCCGGGCACCCUGGGACUGAAACACCGGCCAAAAUCCUACCGGAGGGAGCAGUGGGGAAUAUUGCACAAUGGGCGCAAGCCUGAUGCAGCGACCCCCCGUGAGGGAUGACGGGCUUCGGGUUGGAAACCUCUUUCAGUAAGGAAGCAGCCCUUUUAGGGUGACGGUACCUGCAGAAGAAGCGCCGGCUAACUACGUGCCAGCAGCCGCGGUAAUACGUAGGGCGCAAGCGUUAUCCGGAAUUAUUGGGCGUAAAGAGCUCGUAGGCGGUUUGUCGCGUCUGCUGUGAAAGCCCGGGGCUUAACUCCGGGUGUGCAGUGGGUACGGGCAGGCUAGAGUGCAGUAGGGGAGACUGGAAUUCCUGGUGUAGCGGUGGAAUGCGCAGAUAUCAGGAGGAACACCGAUGGCGAAAGCAGGUCUCUGGGCUGUUACUGACGCUGAGGAGCGAAAGCAUGGGGAGCAAACAGGAUUAGAUACCCUGGUAGUCCAUGCCGUAAACGUUGGGCACUAGUGUGGGGGACAUUCCACGUUUUCCGCGCCGUAGCUAACGCAUUAAGUGCCCGCCUGGGGAGUACGGCCGCAAGCUAAAACUCAAAGGAAUUGACGGGGGCCGCACAGCGGCGGAGCAUGCGGAUUAAUUCGAU
rnacentral:rRNA from 1 species